UACGAAGGGGGCUAGCGUUGUUCGGAAUCACUGGGCGUAAAGCGCACGCAGGCGGAUCGUUAAGUCAGGGGGGAAAUGCCGAGGCUCAACCUCGGAACUGCCUUUGAUACUGGCGAUCUUAGAGUCCGGGAGAGGUGAGUGGAACUCCGAGUGUAGAGGUGAAAUGCGUAGAUAUCGUAAGGAAGACCAGUGGCGAAGGCGGGUCUCUGGACAGUUCCUGACGCUGAGGCACGAAGGUCAGGGGAGCAAACGGG
rnacentral:rRNA from 1 species